rnacentral:lncRNA from 1 species
UGACCGUAGAUCUCAUUUCAGCAACCGAAAUCAUAACCUACCUCCUAUGAGCUAAAAUUUGCUCAAGUCUCUUCACAUGUUGUGAAUCCAUCUUGCUUCAAGGAAUCAUGAUGGACAAUCAGCAUAAAAAGAUUUGUGGCUAUUCAUGCCUUCAAAGAGCAAAUUUAAAGGAGGAAGGAAAUGAAAGGCCAUUGCAAAAUGAUUAAAAUCUUGAAG